ensembl:lncRNA
GGAGGAGAGGGACCCCGGGCUGCAGCCAAGGCCCUCCGGUCCGCCGGCACUCCUCAGUCACCUCCGGCACCUCCAUCACCUCCGUCAGUCACCUCCGUCACCUGCGUCACCUCCAUCACCUCCGUCACCUCAGGCACCUCCGUCAGUCACCUCAGGCACCUCCAUCACCUCCGUCAGUCACCUGCAUCACCUCCGUCACCUCUGUCAGUCACCUCAGUCACCUUAGGCACCUCUAUCAGUCACCUCCGUCACCUGCGUCACCUCAGGCACCUCCAGCAGUCACCUCCGUCAUCUGCAUCACCUCCGUCACCUCAGUCACUUCCGUCACCUCAGGCACCUCCGUCAGUCACCUCCGUCAGUCACCUCCGUCACCUCAGUCACUUCUGUCACCUCGGGCACCUCUGUCAGUCACCUCCAUCACCUGAGUCACCUCCGUCAGUCACCUCCAUCACUUCUGUCAGUCACCUCCGUCAUCUCAGGCACCUCCGUCAGUCACCUCCAUCACUUCUGUCAGUCACCUCUGUCACCUCAGGCACCUCCAGCACCUCUGUCAGUCACCUCAGUCACCUGCGUCACCUCCGUCACCUCAUUCACCUCCGUCACCUCAGGCACCUCCGUCAGUCACCUCCGUCAGUCACCUCCAUCACCUCAGGCACCUCCAUCAAUCACCUCUGUCACCUCCAUCAGUCACUUCUGUCACCUCCAUCACCUCCGUCAGUCACUUCAGUCACCUCUGUCACCUCCGGCACCUCCGUCAGUCACCUCAGUCACCUCAGUCACCUCUGUCAGUCACCUCUGUCACCUCUGUUACCUCUGUCAGUCACCUCCAUCACCUCAGGCACCUCCAUCAGUCACCUCUGUCACCUCCAUCAGUCACCUCUGUCACCUCCAUCACCUCCGUCAGUCACUUCAGUCACCUCUGUCACCUCCGGCACCUCCGGCAGUCACCUCCGUCAGGCACCUCUAUCAGUCACCUCUGUCACCUCUGUCAGUCACCUCCGUCACUUCUGUCAGUCACCUCCGUCACCUCAGGUACCUCCAUCAGUCACCUCUGGCACCUCCGUCAGUCACCUCAGUCACCUAAGUCACCUCUAUCAGUCACCUCGUCACUUCUGUCAGUCACCUCUGUCACCUCAGGCACCUCCAUCAGUCACCUGUCACCUCCAUCACCUCUGUCAGUCACCUCUGUCACUUCUGUCAGUCACCUCCAUCAGUCAUCUCUGGCACCUCCGUCAGUCACCUCAGUCACCUCAGGCACCUCCAUCAGUCACCUCCGUCAGUCACCUCAGUCACCUCUAUCAGUCACCUCUGUCACCUCCAUCACCUCUGUCAGUCACCUCUGUCAUCUCAGUCACCUCUGUCACCUCAGGCACCUCCGGCACCUCUGUCAGUCACCUCCAUCACCUCAGGCGCCUCCAUCAAUCACCUCUGUCACCUCAGUCACCUCUGUCAGUCACCUCCGUCACUUCUGUCAGUCACCUCCAUCAGUCACCUCCGUCACCUCAGGCACCUCCAUCAGUCACCUCCGUUGCCUCAGUCACCUCCAUCAGUCACCUCUGUCACCUCCAUCACCUCCAUCAGUCACCUCAGUCACCUCUGUCACCUCCGGCACCUCCGGCACCUCCGGCAGUCACCUCAGUCACCUCCGUUGCCUCAGUCACCUCCAUCAGUCACCUCGUCACCUCUGUCACCUCAGUUGCCUCAGGCACCGGCAUGGUGCGCGUGAAGCUGCGAAGACGAGUGCCGCUAACAGCCGCAGAGUCAGACGAGAAAGGACACAGAGGAGCGAGCCUGUGUCCUGCCUGA